AAUAAGUCAACUGAGAGUAGCCAUGGUGGCCAACAGUCUGUCACAAUGGGUUUCAGUUACUGCAGUGGCAGCUGUGUCCAGCGGCCACCUUGUCAUCGGACUGGGGUUUGGGAGUUUCCUCACUCAUGACUUUCCGAAGGCCGUUGCUCAUGUUUGACACAGUGGAGGCCUUGGAAAAAGACUAUUUGUCAUCAAACCUUCUAGAUUCUAUGACAGGUCUUUUUUGAAGUUAUUGAGAUUCUACGUUUUAUUGAGUGGAAUUCCAGUAGCAAUUAUUGCAACUCUGGUGAAUGUAUUCACUGGUCAAGCUGAACCAGCAGAAAUUCCAGAAGGCUAUAUCCCAGAACACUGGGAAUAGUAUCAGCAUCCCAUAUCAAGAUGCAUUGCCCGUACUUUCUAUGAUGGUCCUGAAAAGAAUUAUGAAAGAAGAAUGGCCAACCUUCAGAUUGAAGCUGAAAAGGCUGAAUCACGGUUAAAGGAGCCAGAAGUACGAAGAUUAAUGCAUGCGAGAGGAGACAGACUCUGGUAUCACUUUGAGACAGUUGAUAAGGAACUUACUGAUCAUUCUCCAAAAGCAACUCCUGACAAUUAAGCAUUUUUUUUCUCUAAAUCCAAAGUAUAUUCUCUUUCUUGGAAAAUAAAUUAGUAAACAUAUCUGUAUUUUUGCUCUCCAUGGAAAAAGAGCUUCUGACUUUACUGUUUCUCAGUGUUGGUUCAGAUUGAGGUUUUUGUUUGGGGGUGGGUUCGCUUCCAGUCCCUGAAGGUUUAAAAUGUACUAAUAAAAACUGGAGAAAUAGGAAUCUGUGAAUUCCUAAAGUGUAGCAACUUUGAAAGGUCAAAGUGUUUUAUUUACCUGACAAAUGGAAGUUAUAGAAAAGAAGUUCUAGUUAUGCUAAGUACCAGUAAUUAUAGUAUUUUGUACAAAUGUCUGUACUGCAGACGUCUGUAUUAUUGAAGGGCAACUCAGGAUUUUAAGUUCCAUAAAGAAUUGAAUCAACUCUGUAAAAUAUUAACUCCUUAAUAAACAGAUUUUCAGUA